CCAGGAUAAAGAAGACCCGACCCCCUCCCCCCCAGCAGACAAAAUAAGGCCUAGGAUAUAGGGUGGCUAGCUGGUUCAGCAACUCUGUUUCAGGAAAAUGCUAGCCAUAAAAAGUUAGAUUAGAAUCUUACAAACGAUCUUAAGGAACAGGGAGUUUCCCGUUGUGAUUUCCCUCCGGACCUUUCACUGGUAUUCUUGGUAUUUUGGGUUGUGGAUUCUUCCUUUAAAAAAACCCUAUUCCCAGCCAUUCAGGGUCAAAACUCCUCUACCCCUGCGUGGGAUAUGAGUCUCGGCCCCAGCGCACUGGUUCCUGUCAAUAAACCUUGUGUGAUUGCAGCAAGGACGGUCUCUCUUGAGUUCUUGGGGGGGGGGGUCUCAUCAUCCCGAGACUUGAGUGAGGAUCUUCCCUCUCGGGGGUCUUUAUAUACAUAUACAUACAUACAUAUAUAUCCUGGCAGAGACCUGGCAUGUCCUGGCAACUCACAUACUGUACUUCUCCAUUCUUCAUCUACAAAACGUUCACAGAUAUGUUGACAAGCACAAUGUACAUCAGAAAGAUAAUUAGAUUAAUAACGGUCAUCAAUUAUCAGAGGCUCUCCGAGUACAUGGUGCUGGGGUAGUUAAUUCCUUAGGACAUCUGGCCCCUUCAAGCAGCUGAGAUGCCAGUUUUGAGGAAGGAAGCGAAGUCUACAUUGUAAGACGCUGUGUAGGUGAUUGCCUUCGGGCUACCGGAUACUGAUAACAGCAGGGAUGGGCUCACCCCUCUUGAGUCUCAGGCUCAGUUCCCCCAGGCUCAGGUGCUGGCUGCAAUUGUCAUCUGAACCAUGACAGAGCAUUCUCCAUCUUGAGGAGCCUCACACUUUCCUCGAGAAUGAAGUCACAGAUGACCUUAUGGUUUGGGGCAGACUUCAAAUCCAGUUGUUUCCUCUUGCCUGUUUUGACUUCAGUCAGGGAAAAGAGCAUAGAACAAAAGGUUUCCAUGGCAAGGACUGUUAAACCUCACCUAAGACAGUGUUUCGACCCUGAGGACACUUCACCCGAAUGCUGGCACUGGUACAGGUGCGCACACACGGCUGACAGCGUCAUCCUUGACCAUCAUCAUCCUUGUCCCAGUCCAUCUCAUGCAUCUGUGCCUUUCCUCCAAAGCCCUUUGUGAUGUUUACUGCUAUCGGGCUGGAGUGCCUCACAGCACCUGACUCCCAGGGCAGAUGCAGUAGCUAAUCUGCCUCUCCAUGCAACCCAAGCCCUGUGUACCACCAACUCUCCAUGGCUGUGUGCUAUCAUGGGUUGACACCAAUCAGUGUCCUGCAUGGGAGCCCUCGGUUUCACGGAACACGGUGGUUUGGAAUUCUCACCAUCACUUAACCUCCUCACUGUCUAAGCAAGAAUUUAAAGUCUCCUGCUCAGUCCUCCCAGGCCCCAAAGCCAUAUUACAGCUGAAACCCAUCUUUUAAAAUGUCAUGGAUGAAUAGGACUCAAAGGACCAGAGUCUGACCCCAGGAAGGAGCUGGAGGCUUCAGUUGAGUCCUUGCCUGCCUGGGCUAGCUAACAGGAAUACUGCCUUGGGUGAGUCUAGCAUCUCCAUGGUCCAGUUGAUAACUGUUGACAGCCUGCAUUGUACACGGCCAUCUCCCAAGGUGCCACCCUGGGCUCUGUUCAUUUCCUGCUCCCACCCCAUCUCAUCCUCACCUGUCCUUCUCUCUCUCUCUCUGGCUGAUCCAUUCUGACACCCACAUCCUCAGUAUGCAACUGUCUGGCUUUAUAAAUCAUAGCCACCAACUCUUAGCCACUCCCACCUGUCCAGGGGAACAGAGAACACACCGAAAAGCUGUAUUUGGCAAUGUUUUAAAAGUAUGUAUCAGCACUAAAUCCAUAUAUACCUUUUUCUAUCAGUCCUCCAAACAAUACAGCAUAGUGACUAUGUAACAUCUACAAAUGAUUUAUUAGAACUCAGAACAAAGAACACCCAGGUUAUGUGCAAAUGCUGUUCCAUUUGACAGAAGGGAUUAGAGCCUCAGCAAGUGUGUGGCAUCCAAGACGGUUUCCUGGGCUCAGUCCUUGUACAUUUCGAGGACAACUGUACCAUAGCAUGACAUUGUGUCUGAAGGUCAGCUAUAAAAGCCAUACCUCCUUCCUGGCUGUGUGAUGCUGCUUCUUAGGAUCCAGGCUCCAUGUUGCAGGGAGGCCAUCCGUAUUGGGGAAGCUACUGCACACAGUGGAUCUGGAUGGCACUUGAUGAGCCGACCUUUGAGUCAUCCAUGGCCAUGGCUAGGCUGAGUGGAGGAUCCUUGGCUACCUGAGUGUCUCUUAGAUUCCAGUUCUUUCAGACAUGGUGGGCAGGCAAGACAUCCUGUUGGGUUGUCCUGAUCCCAAACCAAAGGACCCAGGGUCACAAGCUGUUGUCUGUUUCUAUGUCAAGAGAGGUUGUUAUGUGAGACUGGCAGUUAUGUGCCACACUCACACACAGACACACACACAUGCACACACUUACACACACACAUGCACACAUACACACACACUCACACACACACAAAACUCACACACACACACAUGCACACAUACACACACACUCACACACACACACAAAACUCACACACACACAUGCACACAUACACACACACUUACACACACACACACACAAAACUCACACAGACACAAACACACAUGCACACACACAUUCACACAAAAAAACACACACACACUAGCAUGUGGUUAUAAGAACAGUGCCUAUCCAUGCUCCUCUUGAGAUGACAAACUGUGGAAACUGACACCCCUGGCCUCAUACCCAAUGUCAGUUACAACUGUGAUAAAGUAACAGAAAACUUUCCUUAACAGAGCAAAGAGAGUUUGAGGUAAGCUUAUGGCAUGGACACUCAGUGAUGGCCUGAUUCAGGCCUUGACACUCAGUGAUGGUCAAGAUCUUUCUGUCUUGGAUGUCUGUCAUUGGGGACACCUCUCCAAAGAGGUCUGUGGCCUCUCCAGAUGGAACAUGUGUUAAAAUAAAUAAAUAAAACAAAAUCCCAGCCUGCUGGUGAAGCAAGCAUAAGAGGUGUCAAGCUGAGGUAGUGUGUGACCAGUAAUGCCUUUCUGCUUGGUGGGGUAACAUGGAUCAACCUCUUCCGUCUUCCUCCCCUCUGCCCCUUCCAGCCAGGGAUGUUGUAGUUGUUAACGAUUCAUCUCUAUGAUCAAAUACAUGACAGGAAACAAGCCAAGGAAGGGGUCCCUUUGGCACAGUGCAUGGAGGUGGGGAAACCAUGGCGUGCAAGACUCCCCACUAUGAUGACGGAAAUUUGAGACAACUGGUCAUAUCACAUCUGCAUUAUGGAAGCUCACUUGCUCCUUUUCAUUGGUUCCAGAGCCCCGGGUUGUGGGAUGGUGCCACCUACAUUCAGGACGGGGUUUCCCUCCUCCACUAAACCUCUUCGGAAACACCCUCAGACACACCCAGAGGGGAGUUUCUUAGGUGAUCCCCAACCCCAGCAAGUGGGAAACAAAGAUGAACCAUCUCAGCCCUGUCACUACUUCCUCUGCUUGGUUACCUCUUUCUGGACCCUCGGGUGAGCUUAUUCUACACUCAACACCAUGUCAUAGUCCUGCCCAGAGUGCUGAACUGGGCAGCUCUCUACCAGUGAUGGAUUGCCCAAAGCAUGCCCACUUUCACACCCCCAGCAUUCGGGAACGUAUACGGCACACAGUACAUACUUACUUGUUGCUGGAGUUCCUUGUCCCGCCAGGUCACACCGUUUCAGCCCCAAAUGAACACACAGAGGCAUAUUAAUUAUUAAUUGUUGGCCGAUGGCUAGGCUUCUUAUCGACUAGCUCUGUCUUCAUUAUUAACCCAUUACUAUUAAUCUAAGUAUUUCCAUGUCUUCCCGUAGAAGGGUCCGAGGAGAGGGCUGACAGGGAGAUCAAGUAUCCUGGACACAGUGGGUCCAAAGUUGUCUCUCCCAAAUUCACGACCCACAGGAACCUUGGAAUCUCACUUUAUUUGAAAAUAGUGUUUUUGUAAAUUCAAUUAACUAAGCUGAAGAUGAUGUCAUAUUGGAUUAAGGUGGGUCCUAAAUUCAAAGACUGGUAGGCUUACAACACACACACACACACACACACUCACACACACUCACACACACACUCACACACACUCACACUCACACACACACUCACACACACACACACACUC
ensembl:lncRNA